UACGAGGGGGGCAAGCGUUGUUCGGAAUUAUUGGGCGUAAAGGGCGCGUAGGCGGUGCGGUAAGUCACCUGUGAAAACUCUGGGCUCAACUCAGAGCCUGCAGGCGAAACUGCCGUGCUGGAGUGUGGGAGAGGUGAGUGGAAUUCCCGGUGUAGCGGUGAAAUGCGUAGAUACUGGGAGGAACACCGGUGGCGAAGGCGGAUCUCUGGGCCAAUACUGACGCUGAGGAGCGAAAGCGUGGGGAGCGAACAGG
rnacentral:rRNA from 1 species